rnacentral:tRNA from 2 species
GCCCCCAUCGUCUAGAGGCCUAGGACAUUUCUCUUUCACGGAAGGAACGGGGGUUCGAAUCCCCCUGGGGGUA